GCGCCAGGCCCAAAACCAGGCCUGGGCCUGCCUGGCCUAAACCCAGUAGUUAAAAAUCAACUCAUAACUUAGAAACCGAUGUUAUUCAUAGAUUCCAGACAUUGUAUAGAACAUUGUGAAACUCCCUGCCCUGUUCUGUUUCUCUCUGACCACCGGUGCAUGCAGCCCCUGUCACGUACCCCUUGCUUGACUGAAUCAAUCACGACCCUUUCAUGUAAAAUCUUUAGUGUUGUGAGCCCUUAAAUGGGACAGAAACUGUGCACUCAGGGAGCUUGGAUUUUAAGGCAGUAGCUUGCCGAUGCUACCAGCUGAAUAAAGCCCUUCCUUCUACAACUCGAUGUCUGAGAAGUUUUGUCUGCAGCUCGUCCUGCUACAUUUCUUGGUUCCCUGACCGGGAAGUGAGGUAAUUGACGGACUGCCGAGGCAGCACCUUAGGCGGCUUAGACGUGCCCUGUGGAGCAUCUCUGCGGGGGACUCCAGCCAGCCUGAGUGACGCGAUCCAAACAGCGCUCCUGGGUAGGAAAAUGCCCCAGUGGGAUGCCUCACCAGAGCAGCGCUUGGCAGGCCCCCGCGGAGGAUAAACACAGUGGCUGAACACCAGGAAGGAACUGGCACUUGGAGUCCAGACAUCUGAAACUUGGUAAGACUAGUCUUUUGAACUUGCCCCACUCCACCUGAGUGGAAGCAUGGCCUGAUCACCCGCAGUGUGCCUGUACUGGCAUCUUUGUUCUGGUUUUGACUUGGCUUGACUUGGAAUCCUUCUUGGCACUGGGAAUACAGAGGUGAUGGGCAGGAAAAUUCCCUGAUUUUAUAGAGCUUAAAUUCUUGUAGGAGAGACAGACAAUAACAGCUUAAGUUCCUUGUAGAUCAUGGAUAUUAGACAAGAAAUAAAGCCACACACCUACAACCAUCUGACCUUUGACAAAGCUGACAAAAGCAAGAGGGAAAGGACUCUAUUCAAUAAGUGCUAGGAUAACUGGCUAGCCAUAUGCAGAAGAUUGAAACUGGACCCCUUCUUUAUACCAUACACAAGAAUCAACUAAAUGAUUGAAGACCUAAACGUAAAACCUAAAACUAUAAAAACCGUAGAAGAUAACCUAGAAAAUACCGUUUUGGACAUACGAACUGGCAAAGAUUCCAAAACAAAAAUGCCACAGGCAAUUGCAACAAAAGCAAAAAUUGACAAAUGAGACCUAACUAAAUUAAACUAAAGAGCUUCUGCACAGCAAAAGAAACUAUCAACAGGGUAAACAGGCAACCUACAGAAUGUGAGAAAAUAUUUGCAAACUAUAUAUCUAAUUCAUAUUUAUUAUAAGUGCAUGUUUACCUGUAUCUCCCAAUCAUUGUACCCUAACACCUAACCCAGAUGGUGACACAUAGUAAGUGCCUUGAUAAAUACUUGUUGAACAAAUCAAUGUUUCAUAGCUUUAGUUCUUUUUGUAAAAUAGAAUGUAAAGUUGGGGGUGGGAGUUUCAUGAAAAUCACAUACCUCUCAGAAAAGAAAACAAAUGGUGAUUAAAAAUGAGUAAAACAAUUACAAAAUAUAUUGUAGCCUUGCCUAUAUCAGACAAUAGCAAAAUAAUAAGGUUCCAGUUUGUACUUUAGAGUUCCCAAAUAAAAAUUUACAAAUCCCAUAAGGGUUGUAAUGAAAUUUGUAUUUCUAAAACCAUGGAAUUUAAACAUUCUUUGAAUAUUU
rnacentral:lncRNA from 10 species